AUUGAACGCUGGCGGCAUGCCUUACACAUGCAAGUCGAACGGUAACAGGUCUUCGGAUGCUGACGAGUGGCGAACGGGUGAGUAAUACAUCGGAACGUGCCUAGUAGUGGGGGAUAACUACUCGAAAGAGUGGCUAAUACCGCAUGAGAUCUACGGAUGAAAGCAGGGGAUCGCAAGACCUUGUGCUACUAGAGCGGCCGAUGGCAGAUUAGGUAGUUGGUGGGAUAAAAGCUUACCAAGCCGACGAUCUGUAGCUGGUCUGAGAGGACGAUCAGCCACACUGGGACUGAGACACGGCCCAGACUCCUACGGGAGGCAGCAGUGGGGAAUUUUGGACAAUGGGCGAAAGCCUGAUCCAGCAAUGCCGCGUGCAGGAUGAAGGCCUUCGGGUUGUAAACUGCUUUUGUACGGAACGAAAAGCCCCGGGUUAAUACCCUGGGUCAUGACGGUACCGUAAGAAUUAGCACCGGCUAACUACGUGCCAGCCGCCGCGGUAA
rnacentral:rRNA from 1 species